GGAUCAUGGCUCAGGACGAACGCUGGCGGCGUGCUUAACACAUGCAAGUCGAGCGGUAAGGCCUUUCGGGGUACACGAGCGGCGAACGGGUGAGUAACACGUGGGUGAUCUGCCCUGCACUCUGGGAUAAGCCCGGGAAACUGGGUCUAAUACCGGAUAUGACCGCAUGCUGCAUGGUGUGUGGUGGAAAGAUUUAUCGGUGCAGGAUGGGCCCGCGGCCUAUCAGCUUGUUGGUGGGGUAAUGGCCUACCAAGGCGACGACGGGUAGCCGACCUGAGAGGGUGACCGGCCACACUGGGACUGAGACACGGCCCAGACUCCUACGGGAGGCAGCAGUGGGGAAUAUUGCACAAUGGGCGGAAGCCUGAUGCAGCGACGCCGCGUGAGGGAUGAAGGCCUUCGGGUUGUAAACCUCUUUCAGCAGGGACGAAGCGUGAGUGACGGUACCUGCAGAAGAAGCACCGGCUAACUACGUGCCAGCAGCCGCGGUAAUACGUAGGGUGCGAGCGUUGUCCGGAAUUACUGGGCGUAAAGAGUUCGUAGGCGGUUUGUCGCGUCGUUUGUGAAAACCCGGGGCUCAACUUCGGGCUUGCAGGCGAUAACAGGGCAGACUUGAGUGUUUCAGGGGAGACUGGAAUUCUCUGGUGUAGCGGUGAAAAGGGCAGAUAUCAGGAGGAAC
rnacentral:rRNA from 1 species